CCCAAGAUGGGUGAGAGGUGCGCCUGUCCUUUUCAGAAGAGCAGGGCUGAUGAGAAGACAGGAGUGGCCUGGCCCCCUGAGCAGCUCAUUUCCAGGCUGAUCCGUUUCAGGAAGAGCUACAUGAGGAAAUUAAGGGUCGGGCUGUCAGUUCCCUUUGAAUGGUUUGAGUUCCCUUUUGCCCAUGACUAAGUCUUUGCAAGGACCCAGUGACCCUGCACAAGGGAGCACCUACCCCAAUUUAAACACGGGGUCUGGGACAGCUGGGUGGCUCUGUGAGGUAGUCAGGAUGAGCACACGCUCUUUCUCCGGAAGGAGUUUCCCAGGGUAGAAAGGCUCUGACAACGUCAGCCCCAGCUAUUUCACUCUAAGUUCUUCCAUUUUUAGCUGAAGAGAUCCGUUCUGCCCAGGACUCUAGAAAGGAAAGCAAAAGUGAAACUGAACAAAGGGGACAUGCUGUUCUGACUCCAAAGUAAAUAUGAAAGUCCUCACGAGUGCGGGGAUUUCCUGGUCCGCUGGCAACUUGAUGACUUGCAGAUGAAACAAUGGGUUCAGCCUGGAACAAGUGCGAAUAAGAAAUCCCAAGGAAGUCCUGUCACAGGGACAGAGUGGUCCUCCAGGUAGCGUCUGCCCUUCCGAGGGGCGGCUUACUGGGGAUCUCUUUGUCCUGAGAGUGCUUCAUGGACACCGCUGACACAUUCUGAAGUCACCCAGAUGGAGAUCAAGAAUGCCUUCCAUCAGCCCAGAAAAUUCCUUCAUGCCUCUUUCCAGGGGACACUUACACAGACACGCCACCCUGGCCCAAACACUCUUGGGAUGGGUCUCAUGGCGGCUUCGGCCUGUCUGCUCCGACGUCCCAUACGUGGACUUGUACGGCUUCUCUCCCUCACCUCCCUCCUUGCCUCCACAUGAGAGCGCGUGUCUGCGGCUUGUUGUCUUUGCCAACAAACAGUAUCCCACCGGAUAAAUACAGCCCAGUGAUGUGGGGCUCCAUCCUGGGACCCCACAGUCUCCUGUUCUCCUGCUGAUGGACAUGGGGUUACUUCCUCUGUGGCCCCAUAAGCAGAGCGAAGCUAGGGGUGUUCUGGCUCAAGUGUUUUUGUCAGUCUCUGGAUUCAUGUCUGUUUUAUAAGUACCUGGUAGGUUCUCCUUGGAAUCGUCUACUGGAUCCUUGGCAUCAAGCAGGUCUUGAACCGGUCGAAGGCUGGGUGAGCUUGGAGCGCAGCUGGAGGCCACGGAGAUGGGAGUGAUUGAGUGC